GUAGGUGAACCUGCGGAAGGAUCAUUAUUGAAUAAACUUGGUCGGGUUGCUGCUGGCCUCUCGGGGCAUGUGCACGCCUGCCGCCAUUUUUAACCACCUGUGCACCCUUUGUAGACCUGGAUACCUCUCGAGGAAACUCGGUUUGAGGACUGCUGCGCGAAAGCCUGGCUUUCCUUGCAUUUCCGGUCUAUGUCUUUAUAUAACCCCAUACGAAUGUAACAGAAUGUCAUUAAUGGCCUUUGCGCCUUUAAAUCAAAUACAACUUUCAACAACGGAUCUCUUGGCUCUC
rnacentral:misc_RNA from 1 species